GUUUUUUGAAAAGUUGGGAAAGAUUUUUUUAAAAUGAGCCUUUAAAUUUUAUAAAUUAUCUUGAGAAUUCUAAUUUUUUUUUAAAAGGCAGUAAGAGGAAUUAAAAUGUAAAACCAGUCAAUUUUAUUAUAUGCCUUAAUAAAACCUGGUAAUUCUGAUAAUAUUCAUUUUGUAGACAAUCAACUGGUAGAUUCAUGAUCCUGGUCUUAACUCGGUAGAAGAGAAGCUUCCUAUGCAUAGCAAGAAAAACUGUCCUGCUAAGGAUUGACAGAGCAGCUGAACAGCAAGGCAUCCUGCAUGCUCAAGAGGCAUAUACUUCCUCACUCAGUGGGGAUGUAGAUGCAGGUGACAACCUAUGUCUGCGUUUUAUAGAUGUGAACAUGACCAUAUAUCAACUCACAGGACGAAUUUAACAACUUCAUGAAUAAGUAAGUGUGGCAGUGUUUUGUAAAUUAUAAAUAGCACUGCACAAAAAGGUAAGGCAUAACCACCACUAUUAUAAAAUCAUUUGUGAUUUUCAUGUGACGCUUAUAUAAGGAAUCAUCUUAAUCUACAAAAAUAUUUCAUAUAAUUGACUAAGAUAGUCAGGCUAUGGUAUGGUCAAUAUAAUUGUGUAUUUAGUUAAGUAAAACUUCUGUAUUUUAAUUUCUCUUAUUAAGAGCUACCUGGAAAAAAAAUAGUACAUUUUAGUAAGUAUACAGGCAUAAUUGUGCUAGACAUAUUUCAGGGUGCCUGUCCACUCAUAACUUCUGCUAAGAGAAAACUACCCAGCCCCCUGGGCCAGGGAACAUUUUUGUUAACACUGACACCAUUUCUCUCUCUCCUUCUGGGUGAAUGAACUGAGUGGUAGAGUUUGGCUAAUUCAUAGCAAAUUAUGACUUGUCUAUCUCAGCUCAAAUAUGUGAUUUGGGUCCAUUGGACUUUUGUUUCAGGAAUUUGAUCUUAGGGUAGGUCUUGUCAACUAUAACAAUUUAGCAAUAGUAAAACAAGCCUGGGUGAAAAUAUCAGAGAAGUUCGAAACUGAAGUAGAAAAGAAUGACAAAUCUGUGACAUCCAAACACAGCCUUUCAUAUGCCUUUGAUAGUCCCCUUUUUAGUUAGCUAACAUCAAUCUCUAGAUCAUUUUAUUAAAAAGUUAAUCUGGUAAUAAUUACAGAAAGGAGAUGCUAUUUGUAGCACAAUAAAUAUAAAAAAUUCAUAAAUUUAUGCAGGUACUUAUUAUAAUCUUGCGUUACAACGCUUAUAACCCAAACCCAAAAAAAUCCUUCAGGCCCUAUUGGGGAGGUAAAAUAGGGUGAAUGGUACCUUUAAAAGUUAUGAAAAAUAGGUUUACAGUUAGCUAUCUCUAGAGAACAAAUAUCCAAAAUAACUAAUAAAUCAAACCACAGGAUUCAGCCUUAUCUCUGCAAUGAAAACAGCCUCUGUACUGAAACAGAUGGGUUACACAACAAAUCUCUAUAAAGAUGAACAAACAGAAAAAUACUGAAUAAGUUUUAAAGAGAUAUAUGCUUUACCUCACUAACAACUGUUUCAACCGCUGAUUGACUGGAAUUAGCUUUACCUUUUUAACUGUAAUGCCUAAACCUUGGAAAUAGUUUAUAAUUUCUGUAACUUAUAACUGCUGUCUGCUUCUUGUGAGGUUAUGGUCUGAGAAAUUGAUCAUUAAUUUUUUAUGAGUUUCACAAGCUAUACAUUAUCUAGCAUUUUAAAUGGGACCUCAAUCUUUCAGGGUUAAUACUUCUGUAAUUCAGUUUGGCUUCUUUGAAAUGGGUUUUCUUCUUGUGCCCAAAUGGGAAGAAAACCUCUGCUACCUAGUAACUUAUAGGACUCUCUCUAAUCCACAAAUCUUAACUUUUACUUAGUUAUGAAGACAGCUUUAUAGUUGUCUCUGUCCUGGAGUAGAGAAAUAAAAAUAGCAGUUCAAAGAUACCUAGGAAACUAUACUUCUAGCAAAAGUAGUUGUACUUUCUUUUAGUGUCAUGCCACCCCUUGGUUGUCCUGUCUCUACUGAACAGAUGAUUAACACUGUGACUUACAUAAAUAUUUUUCAACUUAAAAAAAUUAAAGCCAAGUUCCUUUUUCUUUUCUCAGGUUACUUCUUCAAGGGGCAUGGCUGAACCUUAAAAAAAUUUUCUGAGUCUUUUUCAAAUGGAAAGGAACAUAAAAAAACUGAUUUUAAUAUA